GUGUACAGCCAUAGCACCAUGAACACGCCUGAUUUUGUCUGAUCUCAGAAGCUAAGCUGGGUUGGGUCUGGUUAGUACUUGGAUGGGAGAACAUUUAAAAAAAAAAUAAUAAUCA
rnacentral:rRNA from 1 species